CAUAGAUAAAUAAAAAAAAUAUAUUGUACCCUUACAUCCAAUCACAGCGCUCCUAAUUUGACUUCCUUCACCUGCCUUGGGUACACAAAAGGCCUACCUAAUGCUGGGAAAAUGUAAUACUACCGUUGUCCCUUCAUAUUGUGUAUUGAAUUAAAACAUGAGCGUGCACUUCGAUGAGAACACCGGGAUUGAAAGUUUGCAAACGUUCCGACCAAUGAAAUUCAUUUUAAUAUGUAACGCGAACUUCAACGAGAGCACCUAGAUGAAAUAUUUCAUUUAUACAUAAUAGUUUUUAUUUAGAAAUUACUGCUAAAUGUAGUUAAUAAAAUUAUUUUAGAGCAAAAUGCAUAAUUGGGUUUUUUUUCCAUUCUUGUUUCUUUUUUUUAUUAACAAAGUUCAUGUUCAUUUUAAUUUGAUAGGUAAACUUAUAUUAAAUGCCCCAAACGUAAAUGUAAGUUCUUUGAAAUGCAUUAAAAGACGUAAGAGAAUGCCGACUAAGAGCCAGUCAAGAUAGUUAAUAAACUUAAACCUACCCAUCGUUAUCGCAGACCAAAAUUUAUCUCAAAUAAACAGAAUACAUGUUUAUUUGUUGCAUGCAUUUUUGUACGUCAAGGUGCAUGACAGCACAAUAAUCCCUUUACAGAAUCGUAAUCACAAUUCAGGUUUCAACUCCAUUUAGUGGAGUGACAAAGCCAACUUUUUUCAACUUUAAUGGACCACCCUACCAGCAACUUUUGACUAGUAUAAGGAUUGCAUUUGAUUUAUAUCUCAAAACGGUACAAUUUGUUUUGCUUUACAUUGGUUAAAUAACAAAAUGUAAGUUUCAGAAAUUUAAAGUUUAAUUUCGGCUUUGACUUCUGGGAUUGUGUCGUUUAAAGUAAAAGACGAAAAUAUACAGAUGUACAUGUACAUUCUCACAAAAAAGAAGAUGUAGUAUGAAUGCCAAUAUUCAUAAUUAAAUCAUAACUAUUGUUCUCCCCCUAUUGAUGAAUCUAUAGUAUAUGCCACUGAACGUUAAACGAUCAGCCUUUAAUUCAUCCAUCUUAUCCUUUUAGUUUUGUGAUAAUUUGCAUAUCAAAUACACGAAACAACUGUAGAUUUGCACUAAAGUCAGAAGGCCGGAAGUAUUGCACAUAUAAAAAAAAAUCAUUCACAACCCUACGUUUUGAUUCCAUCACAAAACGACACUUUAUAAAUUUCACGCAUCCGCAUUAUGAAGAUUAAAAUGCUUUUAGUUGUCUGUACGUUUUUUUUUUAUUUAUGCUGUAAAGUAAAGUAAAGUAAUCUUUAUUUAAAGUCGGGUUGCAUAUAUAAAUAAUAACAAAGAACAUGAUCCAUAAAGAGCUCUUUAACCGACUAAUAUUCUUAAACAAAACAUACAUGUAAUAACAUCAGAUACACAUACAACACAAACAUACAGACAUCACAUAUAUAUAUAUUAAUGCAUAGAUAGCACAUGCAGAAUAAAAGCUAAGCAAGAUAUAUUAAAACAAAUGUCUAAUAUCAGCACAUAUAUAGUAGCACAUAGUAUUUAUAUCAGAAUAGCACAUGCAAACUUAAACACUAUAAGCACAGACAAAAGACUGCAUGCAGCUAUAGCAAAGGUAAUGCAUAAGCAAAAAAAAUAAAUGGCUAAAUAAAAAAUAAAAAUAACUGCAAAAAGAUAAAACAUAAAAAAAAAAACAACAAAACAAACAGCAGGCUUCGAGAUCAAGUUAUGGGGCAGCAAGUAAGUACAUUAUUUACAAGAACUGCAUGUACAUUUUUCUGAAAAACACCAGGUGGAGAUAAAAUUUUUGAACUGGCCAAAAGUUGAUAAGCUCCUUGCCUCAUUUGGCAAGGAGUUCCAGAGUUUUGCUGCCUCAUAACUAAAGCUUUUCUUACCAUACCUUGUUGUUUUUGGCCGUGGUAUAUCUGCUAUGCCUUUGUACCUGAAGUUAUAUGAAUUUUCUUUAAUAUUUACUAAAUUAUGUAGGAAUUCUGGACUUGAUUUAUUAAUUAUUUUAUAUGUCUCUAAUGCCAUGGUUCUCAAUCUUCUGAUUUUUAGUGCUGGUAGCUUAGACUGUUCAAGAAGUGUAUUGUAAGAAUUUGUGUAGUCGUCAUAAAUAAAUCUGAGUGCUCUUUCUUGUAUUUUUUCUAUUUUCUUUGUGUUUUGUUCACUGCAGAAGUGCCAUGUAAGAGGACAGUAGCUGAGGUUUGACAUGAUAAAUGAGUGGUAUAUUGUAAGUUUUGAAAGUCUGGUGAGAUGAGUGCCAAUUCUUUUUAGAACGUUUAGUUGUCGUGCAGCUUUUUUGCAAAUAUUUGAGAUGUGAGUGUUGAAAUCCAGUUUAAAGUCUAUUGUUACACCGAGAAGUUUCACUUCGUCGUCACAUUUUAU
rnacentral:lncRNA from 1 species